rnacentral:lncRNA from 1 species
GGGUUACAGGCGUGAGCCACCGCGACGGGCCGCCAUCCCUACCGUUUACAGACAGCGUCCAUCUCACUGUAGCCUAAGGAGAUUUGCUAGUUUGAGUCCUGGGAGAUGAGAUGGGGAAGAUGGGCCCAAGCUGCAACAUGAAGGUCCAUGAUGAACAGUUGGCAUCUCCUACAGUGCCUGCCACUUGGUAAUGUUCAAUGCAGCCAAGGGAGCUAAGGUAAUGAACAAAACAGAGAAGUUCCUACCCUCCCUGAUGUUCAUUCUAGCAAAUGGAGACAGAUGAUAGAAACUGCACAUCAUUGAGCAAGAGGGACACCAUGGAUAAUGGAAAGAUCUACGGCAAGGCUGGCUGUCUGCCCUGUCUAAGGAGGACGUACUGGACCAUCCUGCUCUGCACAUCCAGAUGUGUCCAUGAAUACAUCCAUAAAACGAUGGCCUGUGGAAUCCUAUAGGAAAAUGAUCCAGAGCCUGGGCGGUCAGAAGGAACAAACACUUGAUUUACAAAAUAAAUCUUCUAUGUUUAUGUUUUAAAGACACACAGAGGAAAAA